UUUGGCUGCGACCGUCUGCAAAAGGCCAGCCAUGGCGCUCUCCGGGCGGUGGAUGGGCCCGUACUCCCCGAUGAUUCGUCGUCGUCGCUCUCGUCGUCAUUGCAAACUUCUAUCCAACGAAUCUUUUUCCUUCUUCUGUGUUUUUUGUCUGAUCGAGAGAAACUCCUCGUCAUCAGCUGUAACGUCGAACCGUUCUCUUUUGGCGGUGGAUCCAAACGCGACGUGUUUUGGUACUUCCGCCUCUCUUGUAUCGGUACUAGUCCUGUGUAGCCUCUGCAAGCGGCGCACACGGAAAGCAUCAACCGUCUUCAUCACCCUCUCUUCCGAAGAGGGAUUGGUGAUUUUAGUGGACGUUUGUUCGUGGACAUACACACAUCUACCACCAACGAGUUGAGGUAGAGAACCUUGAUGAUAUUUUUCUCUUAUGGCAUGAAUGGCUAUCGAUUGGACUGCUGUGCGUGCUGACUUCUUGACAAGAAAAGCCUCUUUUAAGUGACAAGGCAGUAUCUUAUUACACGAACUUAAAUGUGUGGUUGAUUCUCUCUUUGUGGUUUUCUUCUUUAGUCAUUUAUCGCAAAUGGGAUAUGAGAAUCACUGACUGUGCCUCAUAGCUAUUGUUUCAAGAUAUUUAAGUAUUGCAGCCUGGUUGGUUCUGUUGAUGACAGAUGAUGAGAUUAAAGUUCAAUCAUAAACCAUAACACGUGAUUCGAACAUGAAAUUGAAUGUAAUGAUGUUUGCUUGUGGAACCUCACUGAAAGAAUGAUUUUAUUGGGUGGAGGAUGUAGAUGAAGUCUACUUGGUUAGGAUUAGAUAUGAUCAUCUCUGGUUCAACAACAAAGAUACUGGUGAAUGACCACUAUAUAUUACUCCAUUGUGGCCUGCACCAUAAAAACGAUCACUACGAUCUACAUGAGGGGACCUCAAACCUUGCAGUUGCAAGGGUAUCAAUAAUGUGCUAUACUAGUCACUACGAAUUCUGCUUAAAUGAUUUUAGAAGCAAAACUGGUUUGUCCAAAAAAAUCUCCUUGGGACUAACCUAUUUAAGGUGGUCACUUAUCUGAUAUUUGUUUUUAUCUUUAAUAUAUGACCAUUUUAAGUUUUUAAGAUGCUCAUAAGUAGAAGUUGAUGAAUGUUUAAUAUGCUCAUAAGUAGAAGUUCAUGAAUAUCUUUGGUGGUAACACAAAUCACUUGAGUAGAUUUAGGAUUUGGGGAAUAAGUUUUAGAAUAUUUGAAUGGAAAGACUCUUAAUUUAGAAGACCAUGAGAUAGUUCCUUAUUCCUAGAAGAUUAGAAAGCUGAAGUUGGAGCAUUAGCUAUGAUUCACUGAGGAUCAGUAUUUGGAGAAUUCUUCAGCUGCAUUAGUUUCACCAACAUGGCUGCAGGUUAUGCAUUUCUCAUUGAGAAUGAAGUAUUGCAAGAAUCGACAAGAAUAGGGAUGUUAUAUUCAUCAAGAUAUCAAUCACUUUCUAUGGCUAAUAAGGAUUAAACAUAUGGUCUGAAUAUGUGGGGGCUGAAACUGUUGGAAGAAUUUUUAGAUAGAAUGAGAAUGAGGCCAUGAUAUGUCAUCUUUGUUGCAUUUCUUCAUGGUCAGGAAGCUCAAGGAAUUUGAUCAAUUCCUUAUUUGUGAUUGUUACAUUUCUGAGAGGUGAUGAAUAUUAAUCAACCCUCUUUUAGUAGGUCUGUGCAAUAGUCAUCUUAACAUCAUUAACCUCACUAAGAGAAGCCAUAUUCGAGUGUUGCUAGCACUGAACAAAAGACACUGGAGAAAGGGAACUAUGAAAUUACUCGAGAUAAUUUUCACUGUCCAACUUAACUUCUAUGUUUGAGGAUGCCUCAGAUUUGUUAUUUGAGUAAUGGCUUUUGGCACAUGAAGUUAAAGGUUUAUUGGUUGAUUCAUGAUUGACAUCUAUCCUAUUUACAUUGGAGGAUCAUUGGAAGUCCAAAAAAAGACUGAUUAGGCUCGUUAUAUAUGAGUCUUGUGAGAUCACCAAGUAGUCUUCAAUACAAUGUUAGUAUCAGUUACAUGGAAAGUCAAGAUCCAGAACAGAAGAUAGGUAUUUGGAAUUAGCAUUUUGGAAUAUUGUGGUUGCAUGAUCAGGGACCCUUAUCAGGUAGGAGUUGUCAAUACGAUGAUUCCUUAGUUGGUUCUCUUUCAGUGCAAAAGGUAUCUAUUAUGAGUUUGUAAAAAUCCACACCACCAGCACGCUUUGUGACAGUCUCAUCCAUCUUAACAUUUAUUGUACUGUUUGAAAUUUCAAUUGACAGCCAAAUAUUCAGUACCUGUGAGCAAUAACCUCACAUUUGAGUCUGAUUAAGGCAGCAGAGACAAGGAUGCACCAUUUAUCAUGAAUAUAUGUAAACUUAACUUUCAAGUAGACGGCAAAUUUUACUUAUUCAGCACAGAAGUCAGACACAACAAAUUUAUCCAUCUGCACUUUUUUCAUGCAUUUUCUGUUAUGAAUGUCAUUGAAUGAGUCAUCCUUCCAUUGAAAAAUUAAACAAUUGGAUUGAUCAAGUAUCUUAAAUUGAAGUUUGCAUAGAAGGGGAAGUUCCAUUCUGGCUCUGAUGUUGACCAUACACUUCAUGCUACUUUAAUUGAAGUCAGAUUCACCAACACAAAUGAGAAUGGCAAUACCAACCAUGAUGGGGAUUUUUAAUUGUUACUUACCUCUCAUUCUUAGGGCUCUUCCUAUUCCCAUCUUUUCAUUCCUUGCAAUCGAUAUGGUCUUUGUUUGAUAGUUUCUGGUAAUGAUUUACUUCUAUCUGUUUCUGGUAACCCAUGUAGUUAUUUAUUUUGAAGAAACUGCUUCAGGGAAUAAUAAAUCAUCAUAUACAAGGCGAAGGAAUUUCUUUUCUGUUUUCGUUAAAGAAGAGGCAUGAAUAUCAAAUAAUUUCUCUGUGUGAUUUCUGUAGGUGAGAUAUACUCCUGCAACAUCCUGUAAUACCUUGUUAUGUUAAUUUUGAUCCAUUUCGAGCCUUCUAACAGUCAUUUUUGUUACUUUUUCAUGUCCUGGUCCACUCAAAAUGUACUUGUGAUCUCCUUUUCACAUUCAAAGUAAAUUUUGUCAAGUAAUUGCAGUUUUGUACUGAUUCAGAAGAUAAUGCUGAUGCAUGGAGUUCUUUAAAUUCAGUGGGAAUUAUCAGAUUCCUAAUUUGUUGUUGGUUAACAUUCACAUUCCAUCGGUCUUCUGAUGAGUCCUGUGCUGUAGUUGGUGCUUCAACUUGUGCAUUUAGAGAAAGGAAUUAUGAUAGUUGCUUUCUAGAUUAAGGAUUGGCAUCACAAGUUUGCUGCUACAAAAUUUGGAACUUUGAAGUGGUAACACCCUUUUAGGGAAGGAUCCUGGAUAAGAGGAGCCCUUAUGUUGGAGUAUAUUGACUGAAAUAACCUUUUAUUAUUGAGAUUGGCAAUCAAGUACAUCAAAUCCUUGUGGAUACCCAAUUGCAAAUGUUCAUAUGAGAUUGGCAAUCAAGUACAUCAAAUCCAUCUUCAUGGCUUCCUGCAGAAUCAAUCAUUGGCUUAACAAUGCCUAUUGUCAUUUAUGGUACAGUCUGAUCAAUGAAAACUUGAUAACAGAGAUGUGGACUAAAUUUUGUUAAUCAGAACAAUCGAGAACAAGACAAUCAGAACUAUUUGUUCUUGAGUUUUAACUAUUAAGAUUCUCAAAUCAUAAGAUCUUUGUACAAGUAUUUUUGUUUGAGAGAUUCUCAAACCAUUACUAUUCAGAGUUCUA